rnacentral:rRNA from 1 species
UACGGAGGGUGCAAGCGUUAUCCGGAUUCACUGGGUUUAAAGGGUGUGUAGGCGGGCUGUUAAGUCAGUGGUGAAAUCUCCGGGCUCAACCCGGAAACUGCCAUUGAUACUAUCAGUCUUGAAUAUCGUUGAGGCAGGCGGAAUAUAUCAUGUAGCGGUGAAAUGCUUAGAUAUGACAUAGAACACCAAUUGCGUAGGCAGCUUACUACACGAUCAUUGACGCUGAGGCACGAAAGCGUGGGGAGCAAACAGG